ACCUCAAAACAACAAGAAAUACUAUAUCUCUCCCCUUCCAAGCUAACUUCACCUUUAUCAGUACCUUUCUCUGAUCCUAAAAGAACGUGAUCAGUCUUCUGGCCAGUCCUAUACUCAAUACUCAUCAUCAAUCUUAGCUGAAAAACCAUCACAAUCAUGAAGCAAACGGUGGUGAUCAAGGUGGAGAUGGAUGGCCACAAGUCCUUUUUUGGUGAGCUGGAUGGACAAAAAGUCCGUUCCAAAGCCUUGAAGAUUGCAGUCGGCAUUUCAGGGGUGGUGGCGGCAUCUUUAAAAGGAGACAAAAAGAACCAAAUAGAAGUAAAAAGAUAAAUGAAUGAUACAAUGAAACUUACAAAAUUACUCAGGAAGAAAGUGGGAUUUGCAGAAAUAAUUACUGUGGUCGAAGACAAAAAAGAGGAGAAGAAAGAAGAAUCGAAAGUAGAAUACAAGGCGUGGCCUUGUAAUUAUAUACCUUCCUACUCCUUUCCAUUUUAUGUGCCGUCAGGGAUUACAUGGCUGCAAAUUUAAAUACUUGGCUGAUAUUUGAGGUUAACAUGUUGCAAAUUUAAAUAAUGUUGAUCUUUAGAGGAGCGGAUGAGGUUGCUCUUAUUCAUUUGGCAUGCAUGUUGUUUAUUUAUUUAUUAGUAUUUUGUUUUAACAAGCUGUAUUAACAUGAAUGUAAUUUUGUUUUAACAUGUAUUAUUCUAUUUUGGAGAAUAUGGGCCUUUAGGGAAGCGUCUUAUUCAUUUAGCAUGCAUGCUAUUUGUUUUUUUAUUAAUACUCUGUU